rnacentral:tRNA from 1 species
GGAUGUAACUCAGUGGUAGAGCACUUGUCUAACAUGUACGAGGCCCCAGGUUCUAUUCCAAGCACCA